rnacentral:lncRNA from 1 species
CGAAUUGGGAGCUGGAAACCCAAAAAAAGCUCGAAUGGCGGUUUACACAGUGAUGGUUAUCACAGGAGUGGAAGCACUGAUGGUGAGUGCGAUAGUCUUUGCUGCAAGAAACGUAUUUGGUUACCUAUUCAGCUCUGAAACCGAAGUUGUGGAUUAUGUAAGAACAAUGGCUCCUCUGGUUUCUUUAUCAGUCAUAUUCGAUGCUCUUCACGCAGUUCUUUCAGGUUAGAAUCUGUUCCUAUAGUACUGUUGAAGUCAUUGAAUAAUUAAGAGACUAACUUAAUGAAUAAAAACAGGUGUGGCUAGAGGAUCAGGGAGGCAAGACAUUGGAGCAUAUGUUAACCUAGCUGCAUAUUAUCUUUUUGGAAUACCAACUGCUGUUGUAUUAGGAUUUACGUUUAAAAUGAGAGGAAGAGGACUCUGGAUUGGUAUCACGGUCGGGUCUUGUGUACAAGCUGUUUUGCUUGGUCUUAUCGUCAGCCUCACCAACUGGAAACAACAGGUUAGUAAAUUACUGAAAGUGAUACGUACGUCUUUUAAUUUGAUAUGUUGGUUUCAUACAUUUAAUGAUUGUAUGAUUAGUCCAUGUAAGAGAGUUAAGUGAAAGUGAUGUCUAUUUAAUAUUCAUGUGAAUCAUGUGGGCAUUGCAGGUGAGGAAGGCAAGAGAAAGAUUGAUGGGUGAUAAGUUUGAAGACGACGAACAUGUAGAGAUCAUCAGUUAAAAUCAAAAGAGUUAUUGGAUCAUUAUUUUGUCAUUUAAUGUUGUUUUUUUCAUAUUUCAGAAUACAGUAAAACAGUAAUGGGAAGGAUUAGAAUGUGCACACACAUGUACGUGCACAUGAGUUAUGGCAUCUACUUUCUUUCCCAUACACAUGAACAUGAAGUUAUUUUCCUAUCAAAUUAAAGGUUAAUAAUCUUUAAUCAAACAAUAUUAGUUAUUAAGAAAAUGUCCAAAACAAAGGCCUUGUCUAGUUAAUUUGAAAUGGAAUAAAAUCCUAACUAGAGACACUUUAAAGGGUUGGGCAUCACUCCCAACCGAAUCCAAUCCAAAAAAUCUGAACACAAACCUGAUCAAAUUUAUAAAAAAUACCUAAAUGGAUAUUGAGUUAGCACAAACGGUAUAUCCAAACCUGAUCAUAUAAUAUUUACUCCAUAUAUAUAAUAUCGAAAGUUAAUCCGAGCAUAUCCGAAAUUGUUAACAUAAUUCUCUCCUAAACCCAAAAUAUUAUGUCAUUUGUUAAUAUGUUUUAUAUUUUGUUUAUUUGAAUUUCAAUUUCAUUUUUAGAUAUUUGUGUUUGUUUGGAAAUAAAUAUAAGAUCGGAUGAAAACACUUAAAGAGAUGACAAUAUUUUAGGUAUUUUAAAAGAUUAUGUAUCUGUAUAUUCAGUUAUAUUCAAAUUCUUGGAUUCAAAGCUUACCAAACCGAACCCUACCUAAAAUAUGAAAAGUACUUGCAUACAUAGUUGAUUCUUAGACCAAAUUAUCAAAAAAUCUGAAAUAUCCGAACCAAAUCAAAUCCAAAAAAUAUUCGAAUGCUUAAACCUACUAAAAUUAAACCACUAUUUUUCAAGGUUCUCGGUCUUCUUAAAUUUCAGUAUUUCAGGCAUUGCCUGAAUUUUGUGUGUUCUUCAGUAAUAACUAUCUAUUCUAUUAACACUGAAGUACAAAAAACUUCUUGCCUUUUUUAAAGUGGGUUUCUAACCAUUUAAUUUAUUAUUUUCAUUUAAGUUAAGUGUUUUAUUACAGUUUUUAUAUUUUUUUUAACUCUUCUAAAUUACUUCAUUAAUUGCAUUUACUUUAAUAAUUCAAUGUCAUUUAUUAUGCGUAUUAACCAAAAUAAUUUCACGUGUCAUAAUUGCUCCAUUAGUAAAAAAAAAUUUAAACCAGUUAACAAAUUUUUUUAUUUGUUUACAUAAUCAGUUAGACAUGAGCUUUCAGGUAUACGUUUGGAUAUAGAUCGGUUUUUACGUGUAUCGAGUUUUUGAAUGUUAAAAUUAAACUAUAUUCGAAUAUUAUAAAUUAUCCAGGGUACUUAGUGGGGAUUAUGUUCACUAUAUCUUCAAGUCUUCUGUUAUACUUCUUGGCCAUAACAUUCAUCUUGCCAAAGCAUUUAUUGGUUGGGGCAUUAGGAAGCAAGGCUCUUGCAGGGACACAUCCUACUGGACCUAAAGAGAAGAUGGCGAUGCGACGAGCUCCUAGUUUGUAGAUUUGAUCAAUGGUUUUGUUAACUUGGGUUAACAUUGAGUCUACAUAGUCGUCUGGAGAGAGUGUAGUGGUUUGGAAUGGAAGAAAGUAGUUAAAGAUGUCGUUGGAACCAGACUCUAAUAAGAAGAGAGAUUCUUGGAUUACAGAUUUUUCUAUUUUGUUCUGCUCUACAAGUGUUUGGAAUUGCUGAAGUUGCGUUUGGAUCGGUGUCACUCUCUGGAUUUAUACAUGUAAACGGAUGAUUCAUAAGAAACAAAACAUUAAGAGAGAGAGAGAGAUGUUAUAGUUAUAUAGUUACCAUGUCUUUGUUGGUAUCAAGCAAGAAUCCACUACCGGCACUGGCGAAGUUAAUGCCAUUAGAAGGGAAUCGUUUUAAAGUUCUGUUCAAGAUUUGGAUCUGCAGUUCCAAGAAUGAUUUCUGUAAUGGAAGACCUAUAAAUUGCGCUGCAAGGAAUCAAGAAAAUAGAGAAAAGUAAGGUGUCUUGAGGAAAAAGCAAGUAAUUAAAGAGUUGGGAGGCAUUAUUAUUACAUAUGAAGUCAGCUACGGUUCUUCCAUUGGUGAACCUCCCGGUAGGUUGGUGGAAGAAGGAAGAGCCAUAAGGAGGAAAAUCAGCUUGAGCAGUGCAGUUUUUGUUGAAAUGAUUGUUUCCUGCGUCGAAAAUGGAGUCGCCAAAGGUAAAGAUGGCAGGAAGGGAGGGAGAAGACUUGGCCAGAGCCACGGGAGAGGCUAGAAGGAGCAGAGUAACGAGUAAGUCCAUUGAAGACAUGUGUGAGGAUAAAUUCAAAGACAUUAGUUAUAUAUAUUAACACUCACAUCAUUUAGAUUAGUGUAGAGUCAGUCACACUGAAAUUAAGGUAUGUAAAAAUUUGCAACGGAAAGGCAAGAGCAUUGUUCAUGUUUAUACAGUUUCUCUUUGGUGUGAUUAAAGUUAGAGGUUGUUCCCAAUUUUCUUAGUUAUAGAUGAUUCCUGUGACUGUUCAAUUACCUUAAAAACAACAUUAGAAAAUAAACUAUAUUAUCUAACUAGUAUUUAUUAACUAAUUAGAAAAUAAAAUUUUAAGAAUUGUGUUUCUAUCAUGUUUUCAAUUUCUCUAUUAUCAAAACAUAAUAACUAAAAAAAAUCGAAAUAAUGAUUUGCAAUUUGUCGAAAAACAAAAUAAAACACACUUAUUUUCUUGCAAUUUUAAUGGACCGUAUGGGCCUGACCUCAAAAGCUUAUCGAUUUUAGGACAAAAAUAAUAAAAAAAAACAAAUGGAGAGGCAUCAGGAAAAGGAGACUCUAAAAGAAUAAAAACAUAUUCUCAAAGCAUCAGAAAAUGCCCAAAGCAACAGGGGAGCCUCUCUCCCUCCUUUAUUACCCCCUGAGCCGAAACCCUAAUUUUCAAAAUUCACCAUCCCUAGAUGAAGCGCAUCGUCAGAAUCUCAGUCACCGACGCAGAAGCCACCGAUUCUUCCAGCGACGAAGACACGGAGGAGCCCUGCCGAGAAACAACAACAACAGCCCAGGUCCGCCGCCGCCGCGGGAAACGCCUCGUCAAGGAGAUCGUAAUCGACCCUCCCGACUCCGACGACAACCGCGACGCCUGCAAGACGCGGUUCAAAAUCAGGAUCCCGGCGGAGUUUCUCAAGGCGACGGCGGAGGGGGGGAAGAAGAAGUUCCGCGGAGUGAGGCAGAGGCCGUGGGGGAAAUGGGCGGCGGAGAUCAGAUGCGGCCGAGCUCUCAAGGGACGCCGCGAUCGUCUCUGGCUUGGGACUUUCGACACGGCGGAGGAAGCUGCUCUUGCUUAUGAUAACGCGGCUGUUCAGCUUAUUGGACCUCACGCGCCGACCAAUUUCAGUUUCCCGGCGGAGAGCCAAGAGGUGAAGAUGGUGGCCGGCGCAUCCGCCGUUGCUCGAGUCGCUUAAUUGGGGAUUUGUUUUGUCAUUUAGUUGGUCGUGUUGAAUUAGCAAUGAAGGUCUGUUGUAAUGGACUUUGUAAAUGAAUCUGUCUGUGCUGAAUCUCCUCAUGUUGCUUCUGCUCUUGCAUGUUGUGGUCUCUCUGUGUAUGUGUUUGUUACAUCGACGACGAGAUUGAAACCCUGAAAUAAAGAUUAGGAAAGUUGGGGUUUUUUGAAUCGGGACUUAUUCGUUAUAAGAGGAAACUCACCUGGAGAUAGAUUGGAGAUGUUUUAAGUGAACCAAACCAACAUUCCUAAUCCAAUCAAUUUCGGGUUAGUUAUUCGUUAGAAUUCAGUUUAUAAUAACAAAACGAACUUAAUUGAACUGAAUAUUAACCGAACGAAACCAAAAUAAUGAAGGUUGGGCAUAUAUUCAGAGUUUCGGACCCAUCGAAUUCAAUCCAGAAAAUAUCCAAAAUUAUAUAAAAUGUUUAUAACAUAUUUUUUUCUUAGAUCUAAAUAUUUUCUGUGUGUGUUUUGUUGACAGAUUAAGUGUUUUAGUUAUUUGAACCUCAAUUUAUUUUUUGAUAUUUAUGUUAGUUUGGUCUAAAUAUAAGUUUAGAUGAAAACCCCAAAAACAUUUUAAUAUUAUAUGUAUUUUUGAAUAAUUAAUACAAAGAUAUAAGAUUUUGGUUACACCCAAAGGUUUCUGAAUCCAAAACUUACCGAACCCUCUGAUCCACAGAAAAAAGGAAAAUCUGAAUGGAUAUUAAAUUUCUAAACUGAAUAUUCGAAAAUAUGAAUGACUGGACCGAAUCCAAACGAUAUCUUGACCCUCAUGACUACUUUGAAUAGAGGUUUUUCACUGAUUAGAGUUCAAUUGCAAUUACUAAAAAGAAAUUAACAUAACUGAACCCGGAAAAAUAACUAAACCACUAGUUUGAAAAUAUAAUUUGUAAAUAUGUAAAGCUAUUCGAACACUACACAAUUAUUGUUUCUAUAAAUGUACUUGUGUGUAGUUAUUCAUAUUUUUGUACAUGGAAAAACUUAAAAACAAGAAAAGAAUCAAAUCGCAAAAAAAAAGGAAUCAAAUUGCCUACUAAUUUGUCGCCACCAUAAAAUACAAACAUUGUACUAAUGGCUUCACUAAACUAAUUUAUAUGUUUUUUGCAUCUUUUGAUCCUUGUAUGUGUUCAGCUAUACAUGUUUAAUUCCUAAUUUGCUAGUAGAAGCCUAUGAAAACUUUAGGCGGCCGAAGGAAACGUUUUUUCCUUUUCCUUUUUAGAGGAGUAGAAGAAUCACAAUACGGCUGACCGCUAAAUUCCAAAAGGAAAUACUUAAAAAUUAUGGAGAUUGGAAGCAAACAUCUCUGAAGAAAACAAGAAAAGAGUGAGGAAACACAUUGAGUGGGUUUAAAAAAGGCAUACAAAUUUUCGCUUGUAUCGUUGAUUAUAAAUUUGAAAAUGGGUGGUUCCCAACUUGACAUGAUAUAAAAGCAUGAAGAGUUUUUGUUUUUUAGUGAGUGCCUUGAAGAGGAAGACACAAGCAUCCGUAUUGCCAAUAUAAUCAACAUUGAAACUAAAUUUUAACCAUUUCUAAUAUAUUUUGCUAUUUUAUAGUAUAAAAUAGAAUAAUUGUAAGGUAAAAUUUAUUCUAAUUCACUUUAAAAUAGCAUUCUUAUAUAUUCUAAAUAUAAUUAAAUGUUAUUUUUCUAAAAUAAAGAAAGAGAAAAAACUAUUUCAAAAAAAUGGAUUGGAAUAAAUUUACCUCUAAAUAAUAUUACAUGUAAAUAUAGACAUGAAUUGGAAAUGUUAUAAUAAACAUUGAAACUCUUUUAACCAAUCAGAGAACUAUAAAUUUUGUUCUCUUUUAACAAAUUACAAUGUAUUUAAGUUUGGUAAUUUCAAUACAGAAACUUUUCACCAACGGUUGAUCUCAGAUGCGUUUUCUUAAUUAGGCAUCAGUAUAAUGCCCCAAUUAGAUGAAUGACAGAGAACACAUGCAUUGGUGACAAAGUGAGACGCUGCUGCAUCUUGAAGAGGUAUAGAAUCAUAACACGACACUCCGCUAACUUCCACAAAUAUAAAUAACUCCUACUACUACUACUAUACAAAGUAGGGAGACUUUUAUUAAUAUUCAUCACAAAUCUCGAAGUCUCCGGAGAAACAGCAGAGAACUCAGGAAAAAUGGACACGGCGGAGAAGGGUCUGCUCGCUCUGAGCGGCGGAGGAGAAGAAGAAGUCAGCACGAGAGAUCGGUUUCUCCGGGAGAUGAGGAGGCUCAGUUACAUAGCAGGUCCCAUGAUUGCAGUAAACUCUUCCAUGUACUUUCUCCAAGUCAUAUCGAUCAUGAUGGUUGGUCAUCUCGGUGAGCUUUACCUCUCCAGCACUGCCAUAGCCGUUUCUUUCUGCAGUGUCACCGGCUUUAGCCUCGUCGUAUGAUCUCUUUCUCUAUCCUCUCUUCUCUUGAAAAACCAGUUCUAAAAAUCGCGGCGACCCCCAAAAAAUCGACCACCUAAACAAUAAUCCUCUAUUAAACGCCUAACCUAUUUUUAGAACAUUGCGAAAAACUAUGCCAACUAAGAUUUUGGAGCUAUAUAUAAUUUAGUAAAACAUUUAAUAAAAAUAUUUAGUAAGAAUUUUAAUAAAAAGAAAAGAUCUAUGUUUAUGUAAAUUUUUUAAAAAAAAAUUGUUUACAGUUUGGAUUGGCUAGUGCGUUGGAGACUUUAUGUGGUCAAGCUAAUGGAGCUAAGCAGUUCGAGAAGCUUGGCGAACAUACUUACACAGGGAUCUUCUCUCUGUUCAUUGUUUCUAUCCCUUUGUCUGUUCUCUGGAGUUACAUGGGUGAGAUACUCUCUUUCAUCGGACAAGAUCCUCUUGUUUCUCAAGAAGCAGGAAAGUUUGCCACUAGGCUCAUACCAUCACUCUUUGCUUACGCGACAUUACAACCACUUGUUCGGUUUUUCCAAGCGCAGAGUUUGGUUUUGCCUUUGAUUAUGAGCUCAAUGUCUGCUCUGUGUUGCCAUGUUGUUCUUUGCUGGAGCUUGGUUUUCAAGUUUGGGCUUGGAAGCUUAGGUGCAGCUAUUGCGAUCAGUGUUUCUUACUGGCUUAACGCAACUGUGCUUGGAUUGUAUAUGACGUUUUCUUCUACCUGUAGCAAGACUCGUGGGAAGAUCUCCAUGAGUGUGUUUAAAGGAAUGAAAGAGUUUUUUCGAUUUGGAGUCCCAUCUGCAUCUAUGAUUUGGUAUGAACAACCUCUUUGUUUCUUAUUUGGUUUUGGUCACACUGUAAUGAUCAUAUUAUUGUGUGUUAUGGUGUUGAAUUAGCCUUGAGUGGUGGUCAUUCGAAUUUCUUGUCAUGCUCUCUGGAAUUCUACCAAAUCCAAAGCUAGAAACCUCUGUUCUCUCAGUGUGGUAUGUUCCUUAUCUUUUAAACCGGUCCUACCAUUUUAGGGACCAAAAACAAUUUAGUAAGAAUUUUGAUAAAUCUAUUUUCUUAUCAAUUUAGGAGCAUAUGUUCAUUUAUACUGAUUUAAAAAUUUUGGAGAGCAAAGACCAAUGUUUCACUUCUCUAAGCCCAUGACCGGCUUUGCUUGUAUUUUGGAAUGAAAUAUCAUCAUAUAAACUUACUUGCAUGCUUCCUUGUUUUAACAGUCUAUCAACAAUCUCCUCCUUGUACCAAAUACCGGAGAGUCUAGGCGCAGCAGCAAGGUUCUUUCUCUCUUUUUUUUUUUUAUUUAAUAAGAAAAGGAGAUAUCUAAAAACCAUCUGAUCACAGCUGUCUUUAUAUUUUAUUGGUGUUGUAUGCAGUACAAGAGUUGCAAACGAAUUGGGAGCUGGAAACCCAAAAAAAGCUCGAAUGGCGGUUUACACAGUGAUGGUUAUCACAGGAGUGGAAGCACUGAUGGUGAGUGCGAUAGUCUUUGCUGCAAGAAACGUAUUUGGUUACCUAUUCAGCUCUGAAACCGAAGUUGUGGAUUAUGUAAGAACAAUGGCUCCUCUGGUUUCUUUAUCAGUCAUAUUCGAUGCUCUUCACGCAGUUCUUUCAG